rnacentral:rRNA from 1 species
GAUGAACGCUAGCGGCAGGCUUAAUACAUGCAAGUCGAGGGGUAGCAAGAUUGUAGCAAUACAAUUGUUGACGACCGGCGAACGGGUGCGGAACACGUACACAACCUUCCUACAAGUGGGGAAUAGCCCAGAGAAAUUUGGAUUAAUACCCCGUAACAUAGCGAUGUGGCAUCACAUUGCUAUUAUAGCUUCGGCGCUUGUUGAUGGGUGUGCGGCUGAUUAGAUAGUUGGCGGGGUAACGGCCCACCAAGUCUACGAUCAGUAGCUGAUGUGAGAGCAUGAUCAGCCACACGGGCACUGAGACACGGGCCCGACUCCUACGGGAGGCAGCAGUAAGGAAUAUUGGACAAUGGACGCAAGUCUGAUUCAGCCAUGCCGCGUGAAGGAUUGAGGUCCUCUGGUUGUAAACUGCUUUUGUACGGAACGAAAAGCCCUGGGUUAAUACCCUGGGGUCAUGACGGUACCGUAAGAAUAGGUACCGGCUAACUACGUGCCAGCCGCCGCAGUAACAC